UUCUCAGCCCCCUCUUUGAGUUCAGAUCUGCUGGCUGCAGGCUGCAGCUGCCUCAUACAGAAUGAAGGUUCUCUCUCAUUACAUGGUACGCAUCGCCUUUUCCUCUGCUCCUCACAACCUGCUCCUCCAGGCGAUUCAGUUCACACAUCUUUAGAUUUGGAAUUUGGGAACUGUACUGUAAAUCAGUGCUCAUUUAUUGACUUGUGUCUUGUUAUUAUUUUGAUAGACGGGUUUUGGUGUACCGCACACCCACCCCAGCUCUUCUCUCCCUGGUUUAUUACCUCUGUGUGGUGUUUCUCAACACUCCAGAUGGUGACCGAGCUGCGAGUACAGGGCAAGCCAUGCCUCAUGGAAAGCAGUAGGAUACUGGUGGUUGAUAUAAGGCAGGAGAAUACCAAGGGCAUCUUUGUACAUAAACAAGAUGACUAAGAAGCUUUCUGAAAGUGCCUAUCAUAGAAACUGAGGAAGUGGAAACAAAGCUGCAGCUCCAAGCACCUAAAUAGACAGAGCAGAGGGAUUCCAAGAUCCUUGCAGUUCUUAUCUAAAUAAUUCAUGAGAGCAGAGACACCAGCUGUCAGUGCCACAUCCAGGAAUGAAAUCCCCCUUGAAAGAGCUAAUUUAGCCACCGAAGUGGAUCAUCAGACAGAGCAUUAAGACCAUAAGUGCUUAUAACAAACAAUAAUGUCAAAAUGUAGUCACCACUUUCCCUUACGAUUUGUCCUGCAGCUUCUACACAACUUCAUCUCACUCAACGCAGCCUGCGAAGGACCUGGUUUACUUCUUCGCUGGCUCCACUGUGGCAGCAGCAGUGAUGGGGAAGCCAAGAUCAUCAUCAUCCACCAUCAUCAUUCCACAGUGGAAGGUGCUGCCUGGAG